GACGAACGCUGGCGGCGUGCUUAACACAUGCAAGUCGAACGGAAAGGCCCUGCUUUUGUGGGGUGCUCGAGUGGCGAACGGGUGAGUAACACGUGAGUAACCUGCCCUUGACUUUGGGAUAACUUCAGGAAACUGGGGCUAAUACCGGAUAGGAGCUCCUGCUGCAUGGUGGGGGUUGGAAAGUUUCGGCGGUUGGGGAUGGACUCGCGGCUUAUCAGCUUGUUGGUGGGGUAGUGGCUUACCAAGGCUUUGACGGGUAGCCGGCCUGAGAGGGUGACCGGCCACAUUGGGACUGAGAUACGGCCCAGACUCCUACGGGAGGCAGCAGUGGGGAAUAUUGCACGAUGGGCGGAAGCCUGAUGCAGCAACGCCGCGUGCGGGAUGACGGCCUUCGGGUUGUAAACCGCUUUCGCCUGUGACGAAGCGUAAGUGACGGUAAUGGGUAAAGAAGCACCGGCUAACUACGUG
rnacentral:rRNA from 1 species